rnacentral:rRNA from 1 species
GGCUCAGGAUGAACGCUAGCGACAGGCCUAACACAUGCAAGUCGAGGGGCAGCGCGGAAGUAGCUUGCUAUUCUGGCGGCGACCGGCGCACGGGUGCGUAACAGGUGUGCAAUCUGUCCAUAGUCGGGGAAUAGUCCAGCGAAAGUUGGAUUAAUGCUCCAUGUGAAGAGAAGCCGCAUGACUUUUCUUUGAAACGUAAGGACUAUGGGUGAGCACGCUUCUGAUUAGAUAGUUGGUGAGGUAACGGCUCACCAAGUCGACGAUCAGUAGGGGUUCUGAGAGGAAGGUCCCCCACAUUGGAACUGAGACACGGUCCAAACUCCUACGGGAGGCAGCGGUGAGGAAUAUUGGCCAAUGGGCGAGAGCCUGAACCAGCCAAGUCGCGUGAAGGAAUGAAGGUUCUAUGGAUUGUAAACUUCUUUUGUCCGAGGGUGAAAAAGGCCACGUGUGGCUUCUUGCAAGUAUCGGACGAAUAAGCAUCGGCUAACUCCGUGCCAGCAGCCGC